rnacentral:tRNA from 1 species
GUAGCUCAGUGGUAGAGUACUUGCCUGGCACACAGAAGGUCUGGGGUUCAAAUCCCAGC